ACUUUCCUACGGGACGCAGCAGUGGGGGAUAUUGCACAAUGGGGGGAACCCUGAUGCAGCGACGCCGCGUGGGUGAAGGAGCGUUUCGGCGCGUAAAGCCCUAUCGGCAGGGAAGAAGAUGACGGUACCUGACCAAGAAGCCCCGGCUAACUACGUGCCAGCAGCCGCGGUAAUACGUAGGGGGCGAGCGUUAUCCGGAUUUACUGGGUGUAAAGGGAGCGUAGACGGUUCUGCAAGUCUGAAGUGAAAGCCCGUGGCUUAACCGCGGAACGGCUUUGGAAACUGUGGAACUGGAGUGCUGGAGG
rnacentral:rRNA from 1 species